GGAAACAGCUCAGUGGUAGAGUGUGUGCUUAGCAUGCACGAGGUGCUGGGUUCAAUCCCCAGUGCCUCCA
rnacentral:tRNA from 1 species